UCUUUGCUGACGAGUGGCGGACGGGUGAGUAAUGUCUGGGAAACUGCCUGAUGGAGGGGGAUAACUACUGGAAACGGUAGCUAAUACCGCAUAACGUCGCAAGACCAAAGAGGGGGACCUUCGGGCCUCUUGCCAUCGGAUGUGCCCAGAUGGGAUUAGCUAGUAGGUGGGGUAACGGCUCACCUAGGCGACGAUCCCUAGCUGGUCUGAGAGGAUGACCAGCCACACUGGAACUGAGACACGGUCCAGACUCCUACGGGAGGCAGCAGUGGGGAAUAUUGCACAAUGGGCGCAAGCCUGAUGCAGCCAUGCCGCGUGUAUGAAGAAGGCCUUCGGGUUGUAAAGUACUUUCAGCGGGGAGGAAGGGAGUAAAGUUAAUACCUUUGCUCAUUGACGUUACCCGCAGAAGAAGCACCGGCUAACUCCGUGCCAGCAGCCGCGGUAAUACGGAGGGUGCAAGCGUCAAUCGGAAUUACUGGGCGUAAAGCGCACGCAGGCGGUUUGUUAAGUCAGAUGUGAAAUCCCCGGGCUCAACCUGGGAACUGCAUCUGAUACUGGCAAGCUUGAGUCUCGUAGAGGGGGGUAGAAUUCCAGGUGUAGCGGUGAAAUGCGUAGAGAUCUGGAGGAAUACCGGUGGCGAAGGCGGCCCCCUGGACGAAGACUGACGCUCAGGUGCGAAAGCGUGGGGAGCGAACAGGAUUAGAUACCCUGGUAGUCCACGCCGUAAACGAUGUCGACUUGGAGGUUGUGCCCUUGAGGCGUGGCUUCCGGAGCUAACGCGUUAAGUCGACCGCCUGGGGAGUACGGCCGCAAGGUUAAAACUCAAAUGAAUUGACGGGGGCCCGCACAAGCGGUGGAGCAUGUGGUUUAAUUCGAUGCAACGCGAAGAACCUUACCUGGUCUUGACAUCCACGGAAGUUUUCAGAGAUGAGAAUGUGCCUUCGGGAACCGUGAGACAGGUGCUGCAUGGCUGUCGUCAGCUCGUGUUGUGAAAUGUUGGGUUAAGUCCCGCAACGAGCGCAACCCUUAUCCUUUGUUGCCAGCGGUCCGGCCGGGAACUCAAAGGAGACUGCCAGUGAUAAACUGGAGGAAGGUGGGGAUGACGUCAAGUCAUCAUGGCCCUUACGGCCAGGGCUACACACGUGCUACAAUGGCGCAUACAAAGAGAAGCGACCUCGCGAGAGCAAGCGGACCUCAUAAAGUGCGUCGUAGUCCGGAUUGGAGUCUGCAACACGACUCCAUGAAGUCGGAAUCGCUAGUAAUCGUGGAUCAGAAUGCCACGGUGAAUACGUUCCCGGGCCUUGUACACACCGCCCGUCACACCAUGGGAGUGGGUUGCAAAAGAAGUAGGUAGCUUAACCUUCGGGAGGGCGCUUACCACUUUGUGAUUCAUGACUGGGGUGAAGUCGUAACAAGGUAACCGUAGGGGAACCUGCGGUUG
rnacentral:rRNA from 1 species